rnacentral:misc_RNA from 1 species
GAUGAAGAACGCAGCGAAAUGCGAUAAGUAAUGUGAAUUGCAGAAUUCAGUGAAUCAUCGAAUCUUUGAACGCACAUUGCGCCCCCUGGUAUUCCGGGGGGCAUGCCUGUUCGAGCGUCAUUUCACCACUCAAGCCUCGCUUGGUAUUGGGCAACGCGGUCCGCCGCGUGCCUCAAAUCGACCGGCUGGGUCUUCUGUCCCCUAAGCGUUGUGGAAACUAUUCGCUAAAGGGUGUUCGGGAGACUACGCCGUAAAACAACCCCAUUUCUAAGGUUGACCUCGGAUCAGGUAGGGAUACCCGCUGAACUUAAGCAUAUCAAUAAGCGGAGGA